AGUGAACGCUGGCGGUAGGCCUAACACAUGCAAGUCGAACGGCAGCACAGCAAGAGCUUGCUCUUACGGGUGGCGAGUGGCGGACGGGUGAGGAAUACAUCGGAAUCUACUUUUUCGUGGGGGAUAACGUAGGGAAACUUACGCUAAUACCGCAUACGACCUACGGGUGAAAGCAGGGGAUCUUCGGACCUUGCGCGAUUGAAUGAGCCGAUGUCGGAUUAGCUAGUUGGCGGGGUAAAGGCCCACCAAGGCGACGAUCCGUAGCUGGUCUGAGAGGAUGAUCAGCCACACUGGAACUGAGACACGGUCCAGACUCCUACGGGAGGCAGCAGUGGGGAAUAUUGGACAAUGGGCGCAAGCCUGAUCCAGCCAUACCGCGUGGGUGAAGAAGGCCUUCGGGUUGUAAGGCCCUUUUGUUGGGAAAGAAAAGCAGCAGGUUAAUACCCCGCUGUUCUGACGGUACCCAAAGAAUAAGCACCGGCUAACUUCGUG
rnacentral:rRNA from 1 species